rnacentral:tRNA from 1 species
AGGGCUAUAGCUCAGUUGGUUAGAGCGCUACACUGAUAAUGUAGAGGUCACCAGUUCAACUCUGGUUAGCCCUA